GCCAGCGAGGCAGCGCCACCGGCUUGAGGAGGGUGAAAGUUCAAUUCUUGGCCCCUGAAGUUAGCGGAAGGGAACGGGCAUGUUUUGGAAAGGCCCGCCGGGAAUUCCCUCAGAAACCAGGCGAAGCUCCCUGCUGGGCCAGGCCCCCCUCGUGUGCUUGAGGAGGAUGGGAGCCCGGCCUCGGUUUGUUAUCCUAAUUAAGUGGAAAAUUAAGAAAAUAAUAGAAUAGCCUCCGUGUCUGAGAGGUUUUGUCUGUGGCUUGUCCUGCUACAGUCCUUGGUUCCCUGACCAGGAAGCGAGGUGACUGACAAGCCCUGUGGAGCGUCCCUGCAGAGGACUCCGGCCAGCCUGACUGACGCAAUCCAAAGAGCGCUCCCGGGUAGGAAAUGGCCCCGGUGGAAUGCCUUGCCAGAGCAGCGCAUAGCAGGCUCCCGAGAAGGAUUAACACUGGCUGAACACCGGGAAGGAACUGGCACUUGAAGUCCAGACAUCUGAAGCUUGUCAAGACUAGUUUUUGGAACUUGCCCCACUCCAUGUGAGUGGAAGCAUGGCCUGAUCACCCACGGUGUGCCUGUAUUGACAUCUUUGUUCUGGUUUUGACUUGGCUUGACUUGGUAAGACUAGUCUUUGGAACUUGCCCCACUCCACGUGAGUGGAAGCGUGGCCUGAUCACCCACGGUGUGCCUGUAUUGGCACUUUUGUUCUGGUUUUGACUUGGCUUGACUUGGUAAGACUAGUCUUUGGAACUUGCCCCACUCCAUCUGAGUGGAAACGUGGCCUGAUCACCCACAGCAUGCCUGCAUGGGCACUCUUGUUCUGGUUUUGACUUGACUUGAAUUGCUGGAUACUUUGGUUUUGGUUUUGACUUGGCUUGAAUUUUUUGGUACUCGGAUUUUGAAUUUCGUGAUUUUGGUUUGGUAUAAACGGUAAAAGUGUGUGUGCCCUCUUUACCUGUUCUUUGUCUUGUGGUAUGUGUGGUGUGAGCGUGGUAUUUUGUCUGGAA
rnacentral:lncRNA from 10 species